CCUGGCUCAGGAUGAACGCUAGCGGCAGGCUUAACACAUGCAAGUCGAGGGGCAGCGCGUUGUAGCAAUACGAUGGCGGCGACCGGCGAAAGGGUGCGUAACGCGUGAGCAACCUGCCCGUAUCCGGGACAUAAGCGGUGGAAACGCCGUCUAAUUUCCCAUAACAACGAGGGCCGCAUGGUCCAUGUUUGAAAGAUGCGUCGGAUACGGAUGGGCUCGCGAGACAUUAGCUAGUCGGCGUGGUAACGGCACACCGAGGCGACGAUGUCUAGGGGUUCUGAGAGGAAGGCCCCCCACACUGGGACUGAGACACGGCCCAGACUCCUACGGGAGGCAGCAGUGAGGAAUAUUGGUCAAUGGCCGCAGGGCUGAACCAGCCAAGUAGCGUGAGGGAUGACGGCCCUACGGGUCUUAAACCUCUUUUGUUGGGGAGCAAACUGCGCCACUUGUGGUGCAUUGCGAGUACCCUUCGAAUAAGCAUCGGCUAACUCCGUGCC
rnacentral:rRNA from 1 species